rnacentral:rRNA from 1 species
CUGGUUUUCCAGGCAAAUCCGGAAAACCAAGGCUGAGGCGUGAUGACGAGGCACUACGGUGCUGAAGCGACAAAUGCCCUGCUUCCAGGAAAAGCCUCUAAGCAUCAGGUAACAUCAAAUCGUACCCAAAACCGACACAGGUGGUCAGGUAGAGAAUACCAAGGCGCUUGAGAGAACUCGGGUGAAGGAACUAGGCAAAAUGGUGCCGUAACUUCGGGAGAAGGCACGCUGAUAUGUAGGUGAAGCGACUUGCUC